AGGAUGAACGCUGGCGGCGUGCCUAAUACAUGCAAGUCGAGCGAACUGACGAGGAGCUUGCUCCUUUGACGUUAGCGGCGGACGGGUGAGUAACACGUGGGUAACCUACCUAUAAGACUGGAAUAACUCCGGGAAACCGGGGCUAAUGCCGGAUAACAUAUCGAACCGCAUGGUUCGAUAGUGAAAGACGGUCUUGCUGUCACUUAUAGAUGGACCCGCGCCGUAUUAGCUAGUUGGUGAGGUAAYGGCUCACCAAGGCAACGAUACGUAGCCGACCUGAGAGGGUGAUCGGCCACACUGGAACUGAGACACGGUCCAGACUCCUACGGGAGGCAGCAGUAGGGAAUCUUCCGCAAUGGGCGAAAGCCUGACGGAGCAACGCCGCGUGAGUGAUGAAGGUCUUCGGAUCGUAAAGCUCUGUUGUUAGGGAAGAACAAAUGUGUAAGUAACURUGCACAUCUUGACGGUACCUAACCAGAAAGCCACGGCUAACUACGUGCCAGCAGCCGCGGUAAUACGUAGGUGGCAAGCGUUAUCCGGAAUUAUUGGGCGUAAAGCGCGCGUAGGCGGUUUUUUAAGUCUGAUGUGAAAGCCCACGGCUCAACCGUGGAGGGUCAUUGGAAACUGGAAAACUUGAGUGCAGAAGAGGAAAGUGGAAUUCCAUGUGUAGCGGUGAAAUGCGCAGAGAUAUGGAGGAACACCAGUGGCGAAGGCGGCUUUCUGGUCUGUAACUGACGC
rnacentral:rRNA from 1 species